CGCCUGCCCUGUGACAAAGGUUUAACGGCCGCGGUAUUUUGACCGUGCAAAGGUAGCGCAAUCACUUGUCUUUUAAAUGAAGACCUGUAUGAAUGGCAUCACGAGGGCUUAACUGUCUCCUUUUUCCAGUCAAUGAAAUUGAUCUCCCCGUGCAGAAGCGGGGAUAAAACCAUAAGACGAGAAGACCCUAUGAAGCUUUAGACGCAAGACAGAUCUUGUUAAACACCUCAAAAUAAAGAAAUAAACUUAAAGAACCCUGUUCCGAUGUCUUUGGUUGGGGCGACCACGGGGAAACAAAAAACCCCCAUGCGGACUGAGAAAACAAUUCUCACAACCAAGAGCCACAGCUCUAGUCAACAGAAUUUCUGACCUUUAGAUCCGGCAAUGCCGAUCAACGGACCGAGUUACUCUAGGGAUAACAGCGCAAUCCCCUUUUAGAGCCCCUAUCGACGAGGGGGUUUACGACCUCGAUGUUGGAUCAGGACAUCCUAAUGGUGCAGCAGCUAUUAAGGGUUCGUUUGUUCAACGAUUAAAGUCCU
rnacentral:rRNA from 1 species